GACCCCUUGAAGACGACGAGGUAGAUAGGCUGGGGGUGGAAGUGCAGUAAUGCAUGGAGCUGACCAGUACUAAUCGGUCGAGGGCUUAUCCAA
rnacentral:rRNA from 1 species